rnacentral:rRNA from 1 species
UGGGGAAUAUUUCACAAUGGGCGCAAGCCUGAUGCAGCCAUGUCGCGUGUAUGAAGAAGGCCUUUGGGGUGUAAAGUACUUUCAGUCGGGAGGAAGGUGGUAAGGUUAAUAACCUUAUCAAUUGACGUUACCGACAGAAGAAGCACCGGCUAACUCCGUGCCAGCAGCCGCGGUAAUACGGAGGGUGCAAGCGUUAAUCGGAAUUACUGGGCGUAAAGCGCACGCAGGCGGUUGAUUGAGUCAGAUGUGAAAUCCCCGGGCUUAACCCGGGAAUUGCAUCUGAUACUGGUCAGCUAGAGUCUUGUAGAGGGGGGUAGAAUUCCAUGUGUAGCGGUGAAAUGCGUAGAGAUGUGGAGGAAUACCGGUGGCGAGGGCGGCCCCCUGGACAAAGACUGACGCUCAGGUGCGAAAGCGUGGGGAGCAAACAGG